rnacentral:rRNA from 1 species
AUUGAACGCUGGCGGCAGGCCUAACACAUGCAAGUCGAGCGGCAGCGGGAAAGUAGCUUGCUACUUUUGCCGGCGAGCGGCGGACGGGUGAGUAAUGCCUGGGAAAUUGCCCAGUCGAGGGGGAUAACAGUUGGAAACGACUGCUAAUACCGCAUACGCCCUACGGGGGAAAGCAGGGGACCUUCGGGCCUUGCGCGAUUGGAUAUGCCCAGGUGGGAUUAGCUAGUUGGUGAGGUAAUGGCUCACCAAGGCGACGAUCCCUAGCUGGUCUGAGAGGAUGAUCAGCCACACUGGAACUGAGACACGGUCCAGACUCCUACGGGAGGCAGCAGUGGGGAAUAUUGCACAAUGGGGGAAACCCUGAUGCAGCCAUACCGCGUGUGUGAAGAAGGCCUUCGGGUUGUGAAGCACUUUCAGCGAGGAGGAAAGGUUGGUGCCUAAUACGUAUCAACUGUGACGUUACUCGCAGAAGAAGCACCGGCUAACUCCGUGCCAGCCGCCGCCGCGGUAA